rnacentral:lncRNA from 1 species
AUCUGCUCACACACAAUCUCAAUUCUCUGCGACCGUGGUAAGGAUUUCAUCUCUAUAUCUCUAAAAAUGUUGGAUUUCAUGGUUUCUUGCCAAUCGAUCUAUUUCAUACUCCUACACAUAAAUGUCUUCUACAUCAAGGAUAAUGCAAGGACUACAGAAGAAACGGAGUUUGAUUGAGUUGUCCGUGGUUGAGGCCUGAGAAUUUUAGCUGUAGACCUUCAUGAAAACAUCAGGAAAUAAUGCGGGAUGCGGGAGUUGAGUGAAGGUAACUAUUACCAAAAGUGAUGUUUAAUCUCCUUCACUUAUGUUUGGCAUCGGUUAAAAUCAUGUUAAUAUUAUAUUCAUUAUUGAUGCUCCACUAUUUUAAAUGGCUUUUUGUGACUAAAGAUGACAUAAAAGGUCCAUGUGGGGUAAUCUAUGUUUUAUAACACCUGAUUAAUAGUUUUCAUGGUUACGUGGAUGUUCAAAAGAUCCAAAGCAUUAACCGGUCCAACUUUCUUAAUUGAAGAUCCCAACAAAGGUGGUAUGAAAAAGCUGAGGACAUGUGGAGCUUGAACAAGUGGGGCUCCUAAGAAAGUUGCAACAAUUGAAGCACCUUCAUUCUGUUUAGAAAAGCUAAACAAGAUGACAUAUACCUUUGGUUUAUAAUCUUCAAUAGGAGAAGGCACUUAUUGUCAGGUUUUUCAUGGAAGGCACUUUGGUCAUUAAGAUGCUGGAUACGAGCUCCAUAUUAGAUUCUGAAUCGGAUUUUAGAGACAAGUUGGAGAAAAAGUAACAAAAGUUGUAAGCAAGAGAGAAAGCUGAUAAAGAAAAGGCUAAUGAAAUGACUGGUCUUUAGUUAUGUAAUAAUGUCUGGUUAAGUAAUCUGCAGUUUUGUUUUGUGUUUUAACAAAUCUGCACGAUUAGGGGAAUGAGGUGGAGGAAAAAAAAGAAGGUGAAAGGUACUUAGCAAAGAUAUGGACACCUGAGGGUUCAAAAGACGUUGCAGUUGGAUAACCCAUUGCAAUAACAGUUGAGGAUCCAGCUGAAGUUGAGGUGGUAUAGACACAUGUUGGUGGCAAUUUAGUAGCUAAGGAGGCAAACCCAGCUCCACAUGCUACCCAUGAUAAAGAAGUUAAAGGACAAAAGUUCAACUUUUCUAGAAUAAGUCCACCUGGAAGUUACUAAUUGCACAACAGAAAUUAGAUGCUUCAUCAGUAAUGAAGGACUCAACAUACAUGAACAUCUUGAGUCUUGGGGAAAAAAUUUGAAGGCUCACCUUGCUAAUAGCACUCUACAAAUGCUAAUGCUGGUGGUAAGGCUAAGCAUGUGUUGGGAUUCGGCUUGGAAAAGAUUGCCAGAUGUAGUUGAGGGGAAAGAUGAAGUCGCAGCGUUAAUGGAUGCCCUCAAAACUCAAAACGAUAAAUUUUUUAAAGGCUUAACACGUUCAGCACCUCAACUGGUGGAAAGCAUCAAGGAAAUUACAUACUGCUGGGUACACAAGUGGUCUAAGCUAAGCGAGAUGUCGUACCAAAACUGGAGCAGCUUCGAGGGGUUAAAUUUCAGGAGAUAAAGGCCUUUUAUUUUGGUCUUUGUAAUGUCCGGGUGAACACUCUUUGUUGUUUGGUUAUGUUGUUCCUGUUGUCUUAGCUCCUUGCUUAGGGCUGUUUGUUUUUAGGUUGUGUUGGUUUUAAUAAAGUCCCAUUUGGCAGUUAAAAAAAAGUAGUUCGCAACUCUUCUCUAUAUAUAUAAACCGUAACUAAAGGAUAUUCCAAGAAGGUAAUUGCAAUCUUCAUCGUAUAUACAUGUAAAAGUCCAAGUUAGUUUAGUCUAACCAAUGCAUGCUAUUUGUGUCAUG